AUCUAGCUGACGAGUCCUAAAUAGGACGAAACACGCGUCGAAUUGGAU
rnacentral:hammerhead_ribozyme from 1 species